CACCCCUACAAUAAUGAGGAUUGAUUUAUUUCUCCGUCUGGACAACAUUGUGUUCGAUGAAAAAUGAUGAAACACAGAUCCUUAAUGAAGAAGUCCAAUAACGUGAAAUCAAUGACAGAGGAGUAAUGAGAGGUGGAGAGAGAGAGAAAAAUGGAGAAAGAGAGGGAGAGAGAGACAGAGUGAGUUCAUUACAGAUCACUGACACUGAGACCUUCGACUGAGAAAAGAAGCCAUUUAAGGUCAGGAAACAGAAUAAAAUCUUAUUAUUUUCCUAGUGUACAGGUACAGUACAGGUACACUGUCUACAGGUACAGUACAGGUACACUGUCUACAGGUACAGUACAGGUACACUGUCUACAGGUACACUGUCUACAGGUACAGUACAGGUACACUGUCUAAAGGUACAGUACAGGUACACUGUCUACAGGUACACUGUCUACAGGUACAGUACAGGUACAAUGUCUACAGGUACAGUGUCUACAGGUACAAAACAGGUACACUGUCUACAAGUACACUGCCUACAGGUACACUUUCUCUUUUCUCUCUUUCUUUGUGUCUCCUUUUGCAGUCUGUCUCUCUCUCCCUUCCUGUCUCUCUCUCUAUGUCCCUGUUUCCUUUUACCCCCUUUUCUUUCUUCCUCCCAGCCAUCCUUUCCUUCCUCCCUCAAUGUAGGUUAUAUAUGAAG
ensembl:lncRNA